AGUGAACGCUGGCGGUAGGCCUAACACAUGCAAGUCGAACGGCAGCACAGUAAGAGCUUGCUCUUACGGGUGGCGAGUGGCGGACGGGUGAGGAAUACAUCGGAAUCUACUUUUUCGUGGGGGAUAACGUAGGGAAACUUACGCUAAUACCGCAUACGACCUACGGGUGAAAGCAGGGGAUCUUCGGACCUUGCGCGAUUGACUGAGCCGAUGUCGGAUUAGCUAGUUGGCGGGGUAAAGGCCCACCAAGGCGACGAUCCGUAGCUGGUCUGAGAGGAUGAUCAGCCACACUGGAACUGAGACACGGUGCAGACUCCUACGGGAGGCAGCAGUGGGGAAUAUUGGACGAUGGGCGCAAACCUGAUCCAGCCAUACCGCGUGGGUGAAGAAGGCCUUCGGGUUGUAAAGCCCUUUUGUUGGGAAAGAAAAGCAGCAGGUUAAUACCCCGCUGUUCUGACGGUACCCAAAGAAUAAGCACCGGCUAACUUCGUG
rnacentral:rRNA from 1 species